rnacentral:rRNA from 1 species
GUAAUGUCUGGGAAACUGCCUGAUGGAGGGGGAUAACUACUGGAAACGGUAGCUAAUACCGCAUAACGUCGCAAGCACAAAGAGGGGGACCUUAGGGCCUCUUGCCAUCGGAUGUGCCCAGAUGGGAUUAGCUAGUAGGUGGGGUAACGGCUCACCUAGGCGACGAUCCCUAGCUGGUCUGAGAGGAUGACCAGCAACACUGGAACUGAGACACGGUCCAGACUCCUACGGGAGGCAGCAGUGGGGAAUAUUGCACAAUGGGCGCAAGCCUGAUGCAGCCAUGCCGCGUGUAUGAAGAAGGCCUUCGGGUUGUAAAGUACUUUCAGCGGGGAGGAAGGGAGUAAAGUUAAUACCUUUGCUCAUUGACGUUACCCGCAGAAGAAGCACCGGCUAACUCCGUGCCAGCAGCCGCGGUAAUACGGAGGGUGCAAGCGUUACUCGGAAUUACUGGGCGUAAAGCGCACGCAGGCGGUUUGUUAAGUCAGAUGUGAAAUCCCCGGGCUCAACCUGG